rnacentral:lncRNA from 10 species
GCCAAAAGAGAUACGAAAACCUAGGUAGAAGAAAGGGACAUUUAAAUAAUUUUAAAGCUAUAAUUUCUGAUAAAGAUCUAUAUCAAAUACAUCAUUCCUUUUUCUUUCACUUGGUUUAUUAAGUUCAUCUAGGGUUUAUCUACUCGAGUGAAGUAAAAUAAAAUAUUCAAUUAGUACAGUGAAUACAGGUGACCAGCCAGAUGAUCCAAACGACAAUCUGGUUUUUUCUCAUUGGCUCCUUUUUCAUACAUAAAAUUUUCCAAAUAAUUUGAUUUUCUUAUCAGUUUGACUUAUGCAAAUACAGACUUAACGUGGCUUACUUAUGACUAUAUUGUAUUUACAGUUGUUCCUAAUGGCUUUCUAAGAUCUCUUUUUCUGUGUUUAUUAUUAGGGCCAAUUCUUGAAAUCAUUUACUUCUUUCCACACUGACAGAAUCCUGCAUGUCUUCAAUUUUCAGUUACUAACUUUUGAGAGAGGUUUUUCUAUGACAUAGGAAACAUAGUUGACUUUUGAUUAUUUUAUUUUUGAUUAUUUUAUGGUGGCUUGACCUGGUCUUCAAUAUCUUCCCUUUAUAUGUCUUAUAUUUUAAAAUAUAAUAAUAAUCUCAUUUGCAUUUAAUUAAUUUUUUCUAAUUUUUUUUGAAUAAGUUUACGGCUGGGAUUUCAUGGCAAAAGGCUUAGCAUAUUUUGAUCUUUUUUUUGUUUGUUUGUUUUUGAGACAGGGUCUCACUGUUGCCCUGCCUGGAGUGCAGUGGUGUGAACAGAGCAGGCUGUAGCUUUGACUUUCUGGACUCAGGUGAUCCUCUCACCUCAGCCUCUCAAGUAGCUGGGACUAGAGGUGCGUGCCACCUUGCCUGGCUAAUUUUUUUAAUUGUUAUUUUUUCGUAGAGACAGGGUUUCACCAUGUUGCCCAGCCUGGUUCAAACUCCUGGGAUCAAAUAAUCCCCUGCCUCGGUCUCCCAAAGUGCUGGAAUCACAGGCACGAGCUACUGCACCAGGGCUAUUUUAAGUGGAAAUGAGAUCCAAGUUAAUUCCAAGUUUAUUUCCAAGGUCAAGGAUUGAAGGAUGAUACGUGGUAAAUUCACGUGAGAGUUGGAUAUGGCCUUUGGAAGGAGCUCUCACAUGCCCCAGGAAUAACUGGACAUGGAGUAGGGACAGAGUGGUGUCAGUGACAGGAGUGAGCCCCAGGGAGAGAAUCCUUUUUGUUUUAAACCACAGAAGACACUUCAGUAAGAGAAGGUAGAAACAAGAAGCAAGUGGGGGAUUGACGUGCUUGGAUCCCACAAACGAGUUUAAAAGUAUUAGAAGCAGGCUAGACACGGUGGCUCACCCUGUAAUCCCAGCACUUUGGGAGGCCAAGGCGGGUGGAUUACCUGAGGUCAGGAGUUCGAGGACAGCCUGGCCAACACGGAGAAACCCCAUGUCUACUAAUAAAACAAAUAAAAUAAAAUAAACUGGGUGUGGUGGCGCGCAUCUGUAAUUCCAGCUACUCAGAGGCUGAGGCAUGAGAAUCGCUUGAGCCCAAGCGGUGGAGGUUGCAGUGAGCCGGGAUUGUGCCAUUGCACUCCAGCCUGGGUGACAGAGUGAAACUUGGUCUCAAAAAAAAGUAUUAGAAGCAGAUGCAAAAUUCAGAAUAUGAAGCCAGGAGCCUGGAAAGCAAGAACGAGAGAGUUGAUAUGAAGUGGUGAGAGUCAGAAGCUGCUCAGGAGGACUGCUGUAUUUCCCGGCAGCCUCUGCGUGGGCAGCAGCGGGGUAGGCGGCCGAGUCUCCCAGGCCACGGACCUGUAUUUCCCGGCAGCCUCUGCGUGGGCAGCAGCGGGGUAGGCGGCCGAGUCUCCCAGGCCACGGACCUGUAUUUCCCGGCAGCCUCUGCGUGGGCAGCAGCGGGGUAGGCGGCCGAGUCUCCCGGGCCAGGGACCUGUAUUUCCCGGCAACCUCUGCGUGGGCAGCAGCGGGGUAGGCGGCCGAGUCUCCCGGGCCACGGACCUGUAUUUCCCGGCAACCUCUGCGUGGGCAGCAGCGGGAUAGGCAGCCUCUGCAGUGGGCAGCAGCGGGGUAGGUGGCCGAGUCUCCCGGGCCACGGACCUGUAUUUCCCGGCAGCCUCUGUGUGGGCAGCAGCGGGAUAGGCGGCCGAGUCUCCCGGGCCACGGACCUGUAUUUCCCGGCAGCCUCUGUGUGGGCAGCAGCGGGAUAGGCGGCCCAGUCUCCCGGGCCACGGACCUGUAUUUCCCUGCAGCCUCUGUGUGGGCAGCAGCGGGAUAGGCGGCCGAGUCUCCCGGGCCACGGACCUGUAUUUCCCGGCAGCCUCUGCAGUGGGCAGCAGCGGGAUAGGCGGCCGAGUUUCCCAGGCCCCGGACGGGACAGAUUGGAUCGCACCUGUCACAGCCACGCUCUGGAAUAGCGAGGGCCCAGCGUCCCCAGGCCCAGGGUGAGGAGAAUCCCUGCCACACUGUGUCUGGAAUUGGUGGGUUCUUGGUCUCACUGACUUCAAGAAUGAAGCCGCGGACCCUCACGGUGAGUGUUACAGUUCUUAAAGGUGGCGCGUCCAGAGUUUGUUCCUUCUGAUGUUCGGAUGUAUUCGGAGUUGCUUCCUUCUGGUGGGUUUGUGGUCUCACUGGAUGAGGAGUGAAGCUGCGGGCCCUCGCAGCGAGUGUUACAGUUCUUAAGGCGGCGCGUCUGGAGCUGUUCGUUCCUCCCGGUGGGUUCGUGGUCUUGCUGGCUCAGGAGUGAAGCUGCAGACCUUCAUGGUGUUACAGCUCUUAAAGUGGCAUGUCUGGAGUUGCUCGUUCUUCCUGGUGGGUUCGUGGUCUUGCUGACUUCAGGAGUGAAGCUGCAGACCUUCGGGGUGAGUGUUACAGCUCUUAAGGCGGCGCGUCUGGAGUUGUUUGUUCCUCCCGGUGGGUUCGUGGUCUCUCUGGCUUCAGGAGUGAAGCUGCAGACCUUCGUGGUGUUACAGCUCAUAAAGGCAGUGUAGACCCGAAGAGUGAGCAGCAGCAAGAUUUAUUGCAAAGAGUGAAAGAACAAAGCUUCCACAGUGUGGAAGGGGACCUGAGCUGGUUGCCAUGGCUGGUUCGGGCAGCCUGCUUUUAUUCUCUUACCUGGCCCCACCCACAUCCUGCUGAUUGGUCCAUUUUACAGAGAGCUGAUUGGUCUGUUUUGACAGGGUGCUGAUUGGUGCGUUUACAAUCCCUGAGUUAGACACAAAAGUUCUCCAGGUCCCCACUAGAUUAGCUAGAUACAGAGUGUCUGUUGGUGUAUUUACAAACCCUGAGCUAGACACAGAGUGCUGAUUGGUGCAUUUACAAACCUUGAGCUAGAUACAGAGUGCCGAUUGGUGCAUUCAUAAUCCCUUAGCUAGACAUAAAGGUUCUCCAAGUCCCCAUUAGACUCAGGAGCCCAGCUGGCUUCACCCAGUGGAUCCCACACCUGGGCUGCAGGUGGAGCUGCCUGCCAGUCCCAGGCCGUGCGCCCGCACUCCUUAGCCCUUGGGCGGUUGAUGGGACCGGGCGCCGUGGAGCAGUGGGCAGCGCUCGUCG